GAAGACAACAACUAACUAACGUUUUUGUUAGCGGAUUAGCUUUUCGAAUAAUUUUAAAAACCAUCAGCAGGCCAAUUACCUUCCGAUCAAUUUAGUUCAAAUAACUUUUAGACCACUAACAUUUUUCUGUGGGCAUAGUGAAUAAAAGCUUAACAGUUAGGAACAUUUGUUAAGUCUAAAGUCAAAGAUUUUAGUGACUGCCUGUUACAUGUUUUGUAGCAGACAGAC